UUGUCGAAGCCCACCUCCUCCCGGGCAACGACGAAUAAGACCGACCUUCUCCUCCUCCCUGAGGUCGGUCACCCAAACGACACCCGCCGGACCUCCUCCCCCGGCGGGUGUUGU
rnacentral:sRNA from 1 species